UACGAAGGGGGCUAGCGUUGCUCGGAAUCACUGGGCGUAAAGCGCACGUAGGCGGAUCUUUAAGUCAGGGGUGAAAUCCUGGAGCUCAACUACCAGAACUGCCUUUGAUACUGAGGAUCUUGAGUUCGGGAGAGGUGAGUGGAACUGCGAGUGUAGAGGUGAAAUUCGUAGAUAUUCGCAAGAACACCAGUGGCGAAGGCGGCUCACUGGCCCGGUACUGACGCUGAGGUGCGAAAGCGUGGGGAGCAAACAG
rnacentral:rRNA from 1 species